UACGGGGGGAGCAAGCGUUGUUCGGAUUUACUGGGCGUAAAGGGCGCGUAGGCGGUCGUGACAAGUCACUUGUGAAAUCUCCGGGCUUAACUCGGAACGGUCAAGUGAUACUGUCGGACUAGAGUACAGAAGGGGCAACUGGAAUUCUCGGUGUAGCGGUGAAAUGCGCAGAUAUCAGGAGGAACACCGAUGGCGAAGGCAGGUCUCUGGGCCACUACUGACGCUGAGAAGCGAAAGCAUGGGGAGCGAACAGG
rnacentral:rRNA from 1 species